CAGAUCCGACCAGACCGUCACGCUGAUCACUCUGCGUGCCUAGGGAUAACGUGGACUACGUUUCUCUUGUCUCGCUGUCACACACGAAUGUUACGCGUCACGUGCCUCUAGCGUAACAUAAUGUAACCCACCGCUCUGAGAUCUCGCAUCAGUGAAAGAGGAUCCAGUUCAAUCGUCGUAUUGGCAAAUUCUACAUUAAUCAACGAGUCCUUAGUUUCGAAUUUUUUGUCUAGACAACCGGACUUCGGAUUGUGUGAUCUUACAAUUAUGCGCGUGAAACGAUGUUCUUUUGCGUGCACAAGUUCAAUGUAUUCACUGUGAUCUAUACCUGACAGUGUUAACAUCUUGAUAUUAUUUUAUGUAUCCUUCUCAACAAAUGUUUAAAAAAAAUGAUUAUCAUCAGCACAUUUCGACAAUAAAAAGCCAAGUAGGGAAUAUUCUUGUGGCGGUUUAUUUAUUUUUAAUCACGAAUCAUCGAGAAGUUGAUGAGCAGCACAGAGAGAAAAAGAGAACUGUACAUAUAUAGUCGGCGGUAAUGUGGAGAUGAGUGUAUCAGGAUGAAAUGUCGACGAAAAUCGGUAAUGUGAUGUUCUUUCAUACUCGAUCGCGAAAUCGAAGAAUGUCAAGGGUUCUUUCUUGAGAUGCGGGAUCACGAGCAACCGACGGAGAGACUCAUCGAAAAGUUUGAUGCUUACGCGCUGAAACUUGGCUCGCACUCUCAUCAUCGGCGUCGUCGACGACGGCGAUCUUAGGCGGGAUUUUAUUGAAGCGUUUUAUGAUGGAGACUCGCGUGCUUUGGUCGCAAAUAUCGUACGUCCCUCUUAUCGUCGCGAAACUUUAUCGAGGGAUCGCGGUGAACUCGAAAAAUCAUUAGUGUCAUUAUCACUGGUCGAUGUCGACCGAACUUUGUCCAGGUGGCCGAUAAUUCACUUAGAUCGUCUGAUCACAUAGUUACAUGUAUCCCGUCGUCAGUCGCACCUCGAAUAACCGUGUCACGUGUGUUGUAAUGAUUGAUCGGUCCUAGCAUCCGAAUGAGUACGUGCAUGUAACGCACAUGAGUCGUUAGCAACCAGAAAUGAACAUUCGCCCGGUCGUCACUUUGCUGUCAAGCCAAACGAUUGUAUUAUUGGACAGAUUGGAUUCCUAUUGAAAUUAGAAGUAUAUUGUCACUGUACAACGAGAAUUCUCGCUGAAUGUGACAAUCGAAGUAUUAAACUGACUUUAAAGAGAUAAUGUGCACCGUAUAGAGACACCAGUGUGUUUACCAUUGACUGUCGACUUCGUGCGCGGGCGUACAGGGUGGCCCUCAUCUGUCUGACGCGUUUCGUGAGAGUGAAUCGACGCGAAGCGUGUUUCAGACAAUACAGAUUAUUCCGCGCACGAGGACCGGAUGCUGCAAACGGCUGGCAGAACGUGGAUUUACACACUACACUCGGCUGAAGGGAGAUUUUGACCGCGCUCUCGCCGAUUUCUGAAUUGGAGUACAUCAUAUUAGGUUGCACGAUUUUCAAGACCGACAGCCUGCUUUCCAAACGUCCAAGCUUCGCAGCAUCGGCCUCGGUGGAGACCGACCGUCUCCGAACUUUCUUAUUCAAGAUGUUUUGAGAGCAAUUUAACUUCGGAGUCCGGUCGAAAGGUGCCAGUUCCAGAGCGCCGGAGGGCAAGCGGGAUAAAACACGCGGAAGAAAGCAACUGACUGCCAGCGCAGCUCGUAAUGCGGGGAUCCGGUAGAACGAUGGCUUGCGGAACGAAGUUGGGCAGUUCGUCGCGAGCAAAUUAGACAGUUCUUCGAGAUCGUUUUUCGGAGCGGCGCUCUUCAUAUUAUCGCUCUUCUUUGAGAGACGACCGGCUGGGCACGACCGGUUCGGCUGUCCUAAUCUACAACCAAGGUUGCCGCGCGGUUAUGCUGGUGGCAUCGCUGCAGGUGGCCGCCA